rnacentral:rRNA from 1 species
CGUAGGAUCCAAGCGUUGUCCGGAUUUACUGGGUGUAAAGGGUGCGCAGGCGGACUGGUUAGUCUGGGGUGAAACUCUCAUCGGCUUAACGGUGAAACUGCCUUAGAUACUGCCAGUCUUGGAUAAGCGAGAGGUUCGUGGAAUUCCGAGUGUAGCAAGUGAAAUGUGUAGAUAUUCGGAAGAACACCAGUGGCGAAGGCAGCGAACUGGCGCUUUAUCGACGCUCAGGCACGAAAGCAUGGGGAUCAAACAGGAUUAGAUACCCUGGUAGUCCAUGCCCUAAACGAUGAUCACUUGGUGUCGGCCGCAAGGUCGGUGCCGGAGCUAACGCGUUAAGUGAUCCACCUGGGGAGUACGCUCGCAAGGGUG